rnacentral:piRNA from 1 species
UGACAGUCUUAUCGAUUUUGG